CUUAUGUCUCCUCUGUUCUCACUAAAUGUUAAGUGUCCCUGGGCCUAUUUCUUUGCUAUCUGCUCUUCCUCUAGCUGACCAACGUCUCAAAUGUUACUCAUGUGCUCAUAACUGAAUCUAAUUAGUGUUUCC